UUUUUCUGGUGGGAUUUGACAGGGGGUUGGGCUCGAUGCAUCAAAAGUCUCAUCUUUCCCUCUUGUUCAUCGACCGUCACUCUCUAAACCUCUUAGAACAACUCUCUCUCUUCUUCUUCAUCUUCCAGCCUCUCUCUGAGAACAACAACGAGCAAGAUGGUUUUCUUCAUCUUCCAGCCUCUCUCAUCUUCUUAGAGAGGCUUUUUGUUUUAAAGUGAAAUAUUACAAAUUUCCUCCAACAUUUUUAUCAAAUUUUGUAAGUUUUUGUUGAUCCCUUAUUAAAAACAGGUUCUAUAUGGUUAAAUGUGCUUUGUUGCAACCUUUCUUUUCUAUUACUGACUUAUUCUUGUUUUUCUUGCCACAUGCAUAUCUCGAUUUUUCCCAUGGCUAUGAAGCAUCAAAACACAUUUUGUCUUGCCUAUGCCUUAUUCACAUAUCUUGCUCCAAGAAGAUUGUCGACCUGCUUCAUUGCUAUUCUAUAAAUGGUUAUAUGUAGGUUAGACAAAAUAAGUUAGAGCGAGACUAAUUGGCAGUGGAGUGAGAGGAGUCUUAACAUGGGAAAGAACAAGUAUAGAAGACAUGUUAAAGAUUUGUCAAUUGACAGAGCAACUCUAAUUUAACUAGUGAACUCUACCACAAAUCCUUGGAAGAUGCUGCUAAGAAGUAAGAAAAUUGUGCCCAAGACAAAGGUGCAACGGUUUAUGUAUACGCGGUCUACUAUGAGAGAUAGGUAGCCAGCUAUUUCACACUUUUGGAUAGCAUUUUAUAACUCAAGAAAACAAGACUAAAGUGAUAAAAUUUGUUGGGUCGGUGGAUGAAUAUUUUGGCCUCAAAUGCCAUUUUGAAAGACCGGAAGCAUAUGCAGCUCUCCACUCCCAAUUGUGUUUGAGUCUUGUAUCUCUUACUGUUUACAUUAAAAAAAGGAGUCUUCAUGGGUGUUAGUAGUUGAGAGAAAAAGGGCAUUUCAUAGCUUUUUUGUAUUUUUAUAAUUUAUACCUAUUGGAACAUUAAGAAUAUUGUACUGAUACUGCUUUCUAAUGGGAAAAUCUGGUGGAGAAAGAAAUCCAACAGGUCCUGUAACUUACAAUUAUACUAUUCGUUUUCUUUCUA